GCCGACUUCUUGCAAGAAGUGACAUCAAAGAAGGAUCAACCACAAUAUUGGUCAAGGAGGAAUGAGCAUUAUAGGUUUAUCUCAUCGAAAGAAUUUUCUGACGCGUAUCAGUCUUUCCAUGUUGGGAGGAAACUAGGCGAUGAGCUUGCGAUCCCAUUUGACAGGACUAAAUGCCAUCCUGCUGCUUUGACUAAUGAAAAGUACGGUAUAGGAAAG
rnacentral:misc_RNA from 1 species